UUCCUCCCAUCUUCUGUUUAGGAAAAUGAUCCCCAGACUGAGUGAUUUCUGGACUCACGCGUCAUCUCCCACCAGCCAUGGGCGGAACGAUAAGCACCCCUCCAUGGCACUCUGCACACCUAUCUGUUAUAGCAGGCUGUAUGCUCAAGGCUAUUCAUCUUUGCAUCCUCAAGGCCUGGGGACAUACCGGGCACAUAACUGGUGCUCAGUAAAUGAUGGGUAUACUACACGGCUCUGCAUGUAGUGAUGACCCGAUAGAUUUAAUCUACAAUGAACUUAAGGCUCGAGGAAAGGACAAAUCACAUGGACUUGGAGUUAAAGAAAAAAGGGGUCAGCUCUGCUGGUUGGUGAUUACUGUUACCUGGAGUGAUAUGAAAUUUUCCGAGAGCAUCUUAUAAAGCAUAUCCUUUGCCUCCUUUGCUGGAAUCAUUGCAAAGUCUUCUACCUGCUUCU